rnacentral:rRNA from 1 species
UACGUAGGGUGCGAGCGUUAAUCGGAAUUACUGGGCGUAAAGUGUGCGCAGGCGGCUCUGCAAGUCGAGUGUGAAAUCCCCGGGCUUAACUUGGGAAUGGCGCUCGAAACUACGGAGCUCGAGUAUGGCAGAGGGAGGUGGAAUUCCACGUGUAGCGGUGAAAUGCGUAGAGAUGUGGAGGAACACCAAUGGCGAAGGCAGCCUCCUGGGCCAAUACUGACACUGAGGAGCGAAAGCCAGGGGAGCAAACGGG